CAAUAGCGUAUAUUAAAGUUGUUGCGGUUAAAAAGCUCGUAGUUGGAUCUCGGCAGGCAGGGGGUGGUUCGCUCUUAGCGCUACUGCCCCAUUUGCCUGUGUGAUUGGCGGAGGUUUCGGGGUGCUCUUCGUUGAGUGACCCGGGGCGCCGUCAGGUUUACUUUGAAAAAAUUAGAGUGCUCAAAGCAGGCUUUUCACGCUUGAAUAUUCGUGCAUGGAAUAAUGGAAUAGGAACUCGUUUCUAUUUUGUUGGUUUUCGGAAAUCGAGUUAAUGAUUAAUAGGGACAAUUGGGGGCAUUAGUAUUCAGACGACAGAGGUGAAAUUCUUGGACCGUCUGAAGACUAACUACUGCGAAAGCAUUUGCCAAGAGUGUUUUCAUUAG
rnacentral:rRNA from 1 species